AACCAUCUCACCAUGUUAUAGAAGAUAAUUCUCUACAGUAACAAUGAGCACUUUGACCCCCCUACAUAGUUCAGACUUGUAAAUCUUUUUACUGGCCUGAGAAUACAAACUUCUCCGAUGUCUUGAAUUUAUUUGUGAUUCUAGUUUGAUUGUUGUUAAUGCUGAAUUACGCGACAUAUCUUUGCAUUAUGUUUUUUCAGCAGUUGGUGACUUUGUUGACUUUCUCAGACUCGACUAACCUUUUGAAGGGGUCAUGGAAUUUCUAGUUCCAAUGAUGUUUGUUCUGUUUGUUGUUUAUUUGGCAUCAAAGACACUCGGAAUUUUAUCUUUGAUGAGAGACACCAUUUCACUUUAUGAAACACUAUUUUAAAGUUUUUUAUAGAUUUGAUUUCUUAUUGGUUGGGUUGUUGGCUAAAGGAACUAAUACCAUGUUUGUGUACUAAUACCAUGUUUGUGUAGGUAAUAUAUGUAUUAGGCUUUACAAAUCAUCUCUUUAAUGUUUAAUCUAAUCGACAUCCCCAGAGUAAUAGUUUGAGUUUUCUUUCAUUUUCUUAGGGAUCGAUCGAGUGAGCUAAAAUUGUUCUUCUAUGACAGUCACAUGUAAUUUUCAUUGUGGAAAACUUAUUCCCAUUUCAUACUGAUGGACUGUGUGAUCUGUAUCUGUCUCUGCAUGUUAGGAUUGAGAGGAAUCUAGAUGAAUAUUAGGACCAAAUCUUAGAAAAUAAUUUCUUGACGUACCUUAGAUCAGGGGAGAUUUUCAUGAAGAGGCAUAUCACUUGUGCUUCGUUUCAGCUUUCUCCCAAACAGACAUCAGCAGUAACAACAUGUGAAAUUUUAUCUAUUAUAUACAUUGUUGUUCAUGUUUAUUCUUGACUUGCUAGGUGAAAUUUUUCCCGAUGGAGGCUAAGUUCUUCCGUUUUCUUAAGUUCUUCCGUUUUCAAAGCUUUCUUGGAGUUGAUUCUUGAGGUCAUAACAAGCCGUCUUGUUUUGCGUCUUCAGGCGGAUCCUGACUUUGUUUGUAACGUGGAUAACCAUAACCCACAACUCUUGCGCGAUUCUGGACUAUCCUGAAGGCAAUGAACCUGUCAUGCAGUCUUACAAGCGCGUGCACGUACACUAUAUAGGAAAUAUAUACAAAUACGCAAUGGCAACUGAUAUGAGCCGGAACGACGCUGCUUCCUUGAAGAAGCCAUGUGAGGAAGGUGGAAGCUCUUGGGACAACUUCAAGAAUCAAAUGAAAGACCACACGCGCUCCUUCAAACUAGCCUUUCACUCGGUGAAGAAUAAAAUCAGUAUUCCUGCAAAAUGGAGUGUAGAUCAAAAUCCAUCUCAUGAAUCAAUGGAAUUGCCAUGGGAACGUGACUUCACCUCAGUUUGUUGAGAUGUCAUCUCUAUAUUUAUUACUAUUUCUGUUAUUUUUCUUUUCCCAAUAAAUUAGCUCGAUUUCAUAUUUCAUGUUUGCUACCUAGCAUAUUAUUCUAUCUAUAUAUAUAGGGGGUGUUCGGUUGACAUUACUAA